GCGGCGACACGAUGUGUUGUGGCGGCGGAGGAACACGCUUUAUGGAAUGGAGUUAUGAGGCUGAGCUCAAUAGAUGUGCGAGAGAAGUUGAAUGAGUAAGCUUGAAGCUUGAGUAGUGUCCAGUCACCGGAGGAGAGUGGCCGCCGUGAAGGUUGGGUGGAAGGGAGCUAGGGAAUGAGUGGUACAACUACUGAGUCAGACUGGGGAGCGUAUACGGUUGACACAUCCUUCGUGUGUUACCUUCCGCAACUGUAAAUGCGAGAAGAAUCAAAAUUUUAAGAUCAAUCUUUAGAACACUUAAUAAAAGGAACAAAUACAAACAAAAAUCAGGGCUGUUGCCUGCAAGGUGGGACCCCGAGCUCCAUUUUCAUCUUCAUCGUCACUAUCAUCUUCACUAUCACUAUCCUCGCCAUCCUCAUCACCUUCAUGUUUAGGCACCAGCUCACGUCUCUUCCCAGUAAUAUUUGAAACUUUAAAUAUUCCAAUAGAAUUCCAGGAAGCUUUCUCCGCCUUGAGUGCAUCCAACAUAACAACAAUAUGACAUUGUCAAACAACGGAAGCAAAAAUGAAAAUAGAUAGAAGAUACAAAAUAAUUAAUAAUAAUAAUAAUAAUAAAGAGAAAUACCCUCCUAAAUGUUAGUAAAUACAUAGCUUGAUAUCAACUUCUAUAAUCCCCGUUUCAAAAUUGAAAAUGUUAAUUCAUAAUAAAAACAUCAACUUGAUUAAUUGAAAAUGUUAAUUCAUAAUAAAAACACUCACCUGAGUCCCUGCCAUGAAAUAUACUGUGUGGGGAAAUUCUGUUCGAACUAAACCCAGAGUGUCUCGUACAAUAUCAAAGCUGUUUAAACAUAUUCAUAGCUUUAGAUUAUUGAAACUAAGCAGAAAUUAGAACAAGUUUCCAAAAAGGCAGCAUCGAGUUUCCCUCGGAAUUACAAUGCUGACGACAAAGCAAACCAACUCUACUCAACACGCCUUUGAUCAUAGUGUAACACUAUGUCCAUCGACAACAAAUGGGUUUUGUUUCAUAUAAAUUGCAAACGGAUUACAAAACCAAAAGUAUGAGAGGAAAAAGGAUCAAUGCUCAUUCAAAUUUUACCUCAAACAGGGCCAUCCGAUGUGAAAGGCAUGAAGAGAGUUGUAAGCAGAAGGAUCACACUGGAGUUCCUCACCUUCCUCCAACUUGUCCACACCAGGUUGCCACACCUUCACCGGAUGUUGCGGCGGCACCGAAGAAGACCCUUCCCCUUUCUUCGAACCCUGAAUUUAUUUUAGUUCCACACAAAUCCAGAAAAAACGAAAAUGAGAUAGAUACAGCUACAAAAGAAGCAGAGAGUAAAUCGAGGUUGUGGAAGAGGGUUAACUAGGCCACAAGAUUGAACCUUGUUCUUUCUCUUGGCUUUCAUACGGUGUUUUAUCCCGCGAGUCAUCUUCAAAUUAGUUCAGAUUCUUCUUCAGAGUUGAGAAACUGAUGCAAAAUCGACAAGCCAAUGAAUUACAAAAGGAAAACCAUAUAUAAUAACUCGAAUCGUAUUCAGACUAAUUUUCGAAACAACUCAAACUAUAUUAUAUUAUAAUAGCUCAAGCUCAAACAACAAAAAAACACCUAGCACAAACACAUACAUAUACCAAUUCACAAUUUGGUAGCCAUUUUCAACUGUGACAGAAAAGGAAGGGAUAGGAAGAGAUACCUGUUGGUGUACCAAUCCAAUAGACGGCGGCGACACGAUGUGUUGUGGCGGCGGAGGAACACGCUUUAUGGAAUGGAGUUAUGAGGCUGAGCUCAAUAGAUGUGCGAGAGAAGUUGAAUGAGUAAGCUUGAAGCUUGAGUAGUGUCCAGUCACCGGAGGAGAGUGGCCGCCGUGAAGGUUGGGUGGAAGGGAGCUAGGGAAUGAGUGGUACAACUACUGAGUCAGACUGGCAGUGAGUGCGGUGCCCCAAUUCCCUAAAACCCCUAACUUGCUUGCUUACUUUCUCCCAACCGGGCUCGGCCCAGCCCA
rnacentral:lncRNA from 1 species